rnacentral:rRNA from 1 species
UCCUACGGGAGGCAGCAGUGAGGAAUAUUGGUCAAUGGACGCAAGUCUGAACCAGCCAUGUCGCGUGCAGGAUGACGGCCCUAUGGGUUGUAAACUGCUUUUUUACGGGAAUAAACUUAGCUACGUGUAGUUAACUGAAGGUACCGUAUGAAUAAGGAUCGGCUAACUCCGUGCCAGCAGCCGCGGUAAUACGGAGGAUUCGAGCGUUAUCCGGAUUUAUUGGGUUUAAAGGGUCCGUAGGCGGACUUGUAAGUCAGUGGUGAAAUCUCACAGCUCAACUGUGAAACUGCCAUUGAUACUGCUGGUCUUGAAUAUAGUUGAGGUAGGCGGAAUACGUUAUGUAGCGGUGAAAUGCAUAGAUAUAACGUAGAACACCGAUUGCGAAGGCAGCUUACUAAGCUAUUAUUGACGCUGAUGGACGAAAGCGUGGGGAGCGAACAGGAUUAGAUACCCUGGUAGUCCACGCCGUAAACGAUGAUUACUCGUUGUGCGCGAUACACAGUGCGCGACUGAGCGAAAGCAUUAAGUAAUCCACCUGGGGAGUACGUUGGCAACAAUGAAACUCAAAUGAAUUGACGGGGGCCCGCACAAGCGGUGGAGCAUGUGGUUUAAUUCGAUGCAACGCGAAGAACCUUACCUACUCUUGACAUCCUGCGAAUUCUGUAGAGAUACCUUAGUGCCUUCAGGAACGCAGAGACAGGUGCUGCAUGGCUGUCGUCAGCUCGUGUUGUGAAAUGUUGGGUUAAGUCCCGUACGAGCGCAACCCUGUCUUAUUUGCCAGCGCGUAAUGCGGAACUCUAGAGACUGCGUGACAACGAGAGUGGGGACGACGUCAGUCAUCAUGCCCUUACGAGUAGGCUUAACCCACGUGCCAACAAUGGUCCGGUACA